CGCGGAACGUGGCCAGGAAGGCGGAGGCGUACCUGGCCUCCACCGGUAUCGCCGAUACCGCGUACUUCGGUCCCGAGGCCGAGUUCUACGUC
rnacentral:tRNA from 1 species